AACGGGUAACGGGGAAUUAGGGUUCUAUUCCGGAGAGGGAGCCUGAGAAACGGCUACCACAUCCAAGGAAGGCAGCAGGCGCGCAAAUUACCCAAUCCCGACACGGGGAGGUAGUGACAAUAAAUACUGAUACAGGGCUCUUUUGGGUCUUGUAAUUGGAAUGAGUACAAUUUAAAUACCUUAACGAGGAACAAUUGGAGGGCAAGUCUGGUGCCAGCAGCCGCGGUAAUUCCAGCUCCAAUAGCGUAUAUUAAAGUUGUUGCAGUUAAAAAGCUCGUAGUUGAACCUUGGGUCCGGCUGGUCGGUCCGCCUCACCGCGUGCACUGAUCCGGCUGGGCCUUUCCUUCUGGGGAUCCGCAUGCCCUUCACUGGGUGUGUCGGGGAACCAGGACUUUUACUUUGAAAAAAUUAGAGUGUUCAAAGCAGGCCUUUGCUCGAAUACAUUAGCAUGGAAUAAUAGAAUAGGACGUGCGGUCCUAUUUUGUUGGUUUCUAGGACCGCCGUAAUGAUUAAUAGGGAUAGUCGGGGGCAUCAGUAUUCAAUUGUCAGAGGUGAAAUUCUUGGAUUUAUUGAAGACUAACUACUGCGAAAGCAUUUGCCAAGGAUGUUUUCAUUAAUCAGUGAACGAAAGUUAGGGGAUCGAAGACGAUCAGAUACCGUCGUAGUCUUAACCGUAAACUAUGCCGACUAGGGAUCGGGCGAUGUUAUCAUUUUGACUCGCUCGGCACCUUACGAGAAAUCAAAGU
rnacentral:rRNA from 1 species